CCUACGGGCGGCUGCAGUGGGGAAUAUUGGACAAUGGGCGAAAGCCUGAUCCAGCCAUGCCGCGUGUGUGAAGAAGGCCUUCGGGUUGUAAAGCACUUUCAGUGGGGAAGAAAGCCUUGGGGCUAAUACCCUCGAGGAAGGACAUCACCCACAGAAGAAGCACCGGCUAACUCCGUGCCAGCAGCCGCGGUAAUACGGAGGGUGCGAGCGUUAAUCGGAAUUACUGGGCGUAAAGCGCGCGUAGGCGGUCUAAUAAGCCGGUUGUGAAAGCCCCGGGCUCAACCUGGGAACGGCAUCCGGAACUGUCAGGCUAGAGUGCAGGAGAGGAAGGUAGAAUUCCCGGUGUAGCGGUGAAAUGCGUAGAGAUCGGGAGGAAUACCAGUGGCGAAGGCGGCCUUCUGGACUGACACUGACGCUGAGGUGCGAAAGCGUGGGUAGCAAACAGGAUUAGAUACCCCUGUAGUC
rnacentral:rRNA from 1 species